rnacentral:rRNA from 1 species
AUACGGAGGGUGCAAGCGUUACUCGGAAUCACUGGGCGUAAAGCGUGCGCAGGCGGCUUGAUAAGUUGGAUGUGAAAGCCUACGGCUCAACCGUAGAACUGCAUCCAAAACUGUCAGGCUAGAGUGUGGGAGAGGAAGAUGGAAUUAGUUGUGUAGGGGUAAAAUCCGUAGAGAUAACUAGGAAUACCAAAAGCGAAGGCAAUCUUCUGGAACACUACUGACGCUGAGGCGCGAAGGCGUGGGGAGCAAACAGGAUUAGAAACCCUAGUAGUCC